rnacentral:rRNA from 1 species
GACGAACGCUGGCGGCGUGCUUAACACAUGCAAGUCGAACGGAAAGGCCUCUUUCGGGGGGUACUCGAGUGGCGAACGGGUGAGUAACACGUGAGUAACCUGCCCUUGACUUUGGGAUAACUUCAGGAAACUGGGGCUAAUACCGGAUAGGAGCUCCUGCUGCAUGGUGGGGGUUGGAAAGUUUCGGCGGUUGGGGAUGGACUCGCGGCUUAUCAGCUUGUUGGUGGGGUAGUGGCUAACCAAGGCUUUGACGGGUAGCCGGCCUGAGAGGGUGACCGGCCACAUUGGGACUGAGAGACGGCCCAGACUCCUACGGGAGGCAGCAGUGGGGAAUAUUGCACAAUGGGUGGAAGCCUGAUGCAGCAACGCCGGGUGCGGGAUGACGGCCUUCGGGUUGUAAACCGCUUUCGCUCAUGACGAAGCUUUGUGUGACGGUAGUGGGUAAAGAAGCACCGGCUAACUACGUG